CCUACGGGAGGCAGCAGUGGGGAAUAUUGCACAAUGGGGGAAACCCUGAUGCAGCGACGCCGCGUGAGUGAAGAAGUAUUUCGGUACGUAAAGCUCUAUCAGCAGGGAAGAAAAUGACGGUACCUGACUAAGAAGCCCCGGCUAACUACGUGCCAGCAGCCGCGGUAAUACGUAGGGGGCAAGCGUUAUCCGGAUUUACUGGGUGUAAAGGGAGCGUAGACGGCAGCGCAAGUCUGGAGUGAAAUCCCAUGGCUUAACCAUGGAACUGCUUUGGAAACUGUGCAGCUAGAGUGCAGGAGAGGGAAGCGGAAUUCCUGGUGUAGCGGUGAAAUGCGUAGAUAUUAGGAGGAACACCAGUGGCGAAGGCGGCUUACUGGACUGUAACUGACGUUGAGGCUCGAAAGCGUGGGGAGCAAACAGGAUUAGAUACCCGGGUAGUC
rnacentral:rRNA from 1 species